CGACGAGAGACCUUCGGGUCUCUAGUGGCGAACGGGUGAGUAACACGUAGGGAACCUGCCCGCGCACCGGGAAUACGCUCUGGAAACGGAGAACAAAUCCCGAUGUACAGGAAGGAGGCAUCUUCUUUCUGUGAAACAUCCUUUCGGGGAUGGGGCGCGGAUGGACCUGCGGUGCAUUAGUUGGUUGGCGGGGUAAAGGCCCACCAAGACGAUGAUGCAUAGCCGGCCUGAGAGGGCGGACGGCCACAUUGGGACUGAGACACGGCCCAGACUCCUGCGGGAGGCAGCAGUAGGGAAUUUUCGUCAAUGGGCGCAAGCCUGAACGAGCGAUGCCGCGUGAGUGAAGAAGGCCUUCGGGUCGUAAAGCUCUGUUGCGGGGGAAAAAAGGCAGCAUCAGGAAAUGGGUGCUGACUGAUGGCGCCCCGCCAGAAAGUCACGGCUAACUACGUGCCAGCAGCCGCGGUAAUACGUAGGUGGCGAGCGUUAUCCGGAAUGAUUGGGCGUAAAGGGUGCGCAGGCGGUCCUGCAAGUCUGGAGUGAAACGCAUGAGCUCAACUCAUGCAUGGCUUUGGAAACUGGAGGACUGGAGAGCAGGAGAGGGCGGUGGAACUCCAUGUGUAGCGGUAAAAUGCGUAGAUAUAUGGAAGAACACCAGUGGCGAAGGCGGCCGCCUGGCCUGUUGCUGACGCUGAGGCACGAAAGCGUGGGGAGCAAAUAGGAUUAGAUACCCUAGUAGUCCACGCCGUAAACGAUGAGGACCAAGUGUUGGGGGUGAAACCUCAGUGCUGAAGUUAACGCAGUGAGUCCUCCGCCUGGGGAGUAUG
rnacentral:rRNA from 1 species